rnacentral:rRNA from 1 species
CAUCACUACGCUAGAUGCAUAUCAAUAAGCGGAGGAAAAGAAACUAACAAGGAUUCCCUUAGUAACGGCGAGUGAAGCGGGAAGAGCUCAAAUUUGAAAUCUUCAAGGUUUUACCUUGACGAAUUGUAGUUUAAAGAAGUGUUUUCUGUUGAAGUUUUGGUAAAAGUUCUUUGGAAUAGGACAUCAUAGAGGGUGAGAAUCCCGUAUUUGACCAUUAUUUUCAGCUGUGUGAUACACUUUCAAAGAGUCGGAUUGUUUGGGAAUGCAGUCCAAAAUGGGUGGUAAAUUUCAUCUAAAGCUAAAUAUUGGCGAGAGACCGAUAGCGAACAAGUACCGUGAGGGAAAGAUGAAAAGAACUUUGAAAAGAGAGUUAAACAGUACGUGAAAUUGUCAAAAGGGAAGCGUUUGACACCAGUGUUGUUUUCUCGAAAAUCAAUUAAAAAUGAUGGGAUUUUGUGUUGUAUUGACUUUAUCAGCUUUCUGCACUUUUUUCCUAUCUUUUUUAAUGCACUUUUCGUUUAACAAGUCAACAUCAAUUUCUUUUGUUGUAAAAGGGUCAUUGGAAGGUGGCUUUCUUUUCGGAGAAAGUGUUUAUAGCCUUUGGCCUCUGCAAUCGGAGAGAUUGAGGUCUGCAGCGUAGAUCCUUCGGGGUUAGAUACAUUUGUGCUAAGCUAUAGCCUUUCAUAGACAACUUGUUGACUAUGAUCAGUCAUGUAGCUUACUCGCUUAUGCUAUUUUACCUACGCUUAGGAUGUUGACGAGACUGUCGAUCUC